rnacentral:rRNA from 1 species
UACAGAGGGUGCAAGCGUUGUUCGGAAUUAUUGGGCGUAAAGCGCGUGUAGGCGGCUUAGCAAGUCGGGCGUGAAAGCCCUCGGCUCAACCGAGGAAGUGCACCCGAAACUGCUGAGCUUGAGUGCCGGAGAGGAUGGCGGAAUACCCCCAAGUAGAGGUGAAAAUUCGUAGAUAUGGGGUGGAACACCCGUGGCGAAAGCGGCUCUCUGGAACGGUACUGACGCUGAGACGGCGAAAGCGUGGGAGCGAACAGG